GUGAGAGUAAGUAGGAGGUGAAGUAUCCAAAUGAGAUUUGAGACUAUAAAUUCUAAAGUGAGUGUGAUAGCUAGGUCAGAACAGGAAAAAUCUUAAAAUUGGUGAAGCGGCGCAUCUGAGAGACGAAAGUUGAACUUUGGGAAGGGAGCUGUAAGAGCAACAAGGUUUUGUGAAAAAGCUUCGAUUAAGAAUUGCAUGGUGGAAUCGAAAAUUCGAAAAAAUUAUGGAAAUUGAAAAGUCUGAACAUCGCAGAAAUUGAAAAGUCAGAAAAUGGCAGAAAUCGAGAAAUUGCAAAAAUCAGCGACAAUCAAAGGUUGGCCGGUGGCAGGAGAACGUCUGGCGAUUGACAACCGUUCAGGCGACCUGGGAAAUUUUGGGCGUUUUUCGAUAGUUUUGUCAUUUUUCGAGUUCUAAGGUCUUUUCUUUGACAUUUGUGUAAUACCGAAGAUGAAUUAUAUUAUUUUGGGUUUACGUUA